GACGAGCCACACGAACGUUAUUCGGAAUUACUGGCUUAAAGGGUGCGUAGGUGGCGCCGUAAGUCGGGUGUGAAAUUUCGGAGCUUAACUCCGAAACUGCAUUCGAUACUGCGGUGCUUGAGGACUGGAGAGGAGACUGGAAUUUACGGUGUAGCGGUGAAAUGCGUAGAUAUCGUAAGGAAGACCAGUGGCGAAGGCGGGUCUCUGGACAGUUCCUGACGCUGAGGCACGAAGGCCAGGGGAGCAAACGGG
rnacentral:rRNA from 1 species